CCACAGAUAAACGGCGGGGGACAGGAAGGGUAUAAUUUGCAUGGAGAAAGAAACUAACAACUGAAGUAGGCACUAACAAAAUGGAAAUUGCUCAACGCUUGGACUCUUUUCAGGCCUGUAUAUGGCCAACUGAUUUUUGAUUUUUAAAACUUAUUGAAUGGAGAAAGGGUAGACUUUUCAACAAAUGGUUUUGGAACAACUGGACAUCCAUGGACAAAAGGAAAAGAAAAAUGUACCAAGAUCUAAAGCUCACAUCCUGUGCAAAAAUGAAACCAAAAAGGA